rnacentral:rRNA from 1 species
GAUGAACGCUGGCGGCGUGCCUAAUACAUGCAAGUCGAGCGAACAGACGAGGAGCUUGCUCCUCUGACGUUAGCGGCGGACGGGUGAGUAACACGUGGAUAACCUACCUAUAAGACUGGGAUAACUUCGGGAAACCGGAGCUAUACCGGAUAAUAUAUUGAACCGCAUGGUUCAAUAGUGAAAGACGGUUUUGCUGUCACUUAUAGAUGGAUCCGCGCCGCAUUAGCUAGUUGGUAAGGUAACGGCUUACCAAGGCAACGAUGCGUAGCCGACCUGAGAGGGUGAUCGGCCACACUGGAACUGAGACACGGUCCAGACUCCUACGGGAGGCAGCAGUAGGGAAUCUUCCGCAAUGGGCGAAAGCCUAACGGAGCAACGCCGCGUGAGUGAUGAAGGUCUUCGGAUCGUAAAACUCUGUUAUUAGGGAAGAACAAAUGUGUAAGUAACUAUGCACGUCUUGACGGUACCUAAUCAGAAAGCCACGGCUAACUACGUG